rnacentral:RNase_P_RNA from 1 species
GUACGUAGUUGGAGAGUCGCUAUACUUUUAAAGUAUAGAGGAAAGUCCGAGCUUCGCUGAAGAAAAAUGCUAGGUAAUGCCUAGCUAGGUAUUAAUGCCUAAGGGAAAGUGCAACAGAAAAUAUACCGCCUUUAUGGUAAGGGUGAAAAGGUGAGGUAAGAGCUUACCGUGAUCUCGGUGACGAGAUUUGCAUUGCAAACCCCAUUUGAAGCAAGAUCAAGUAGCAGAACAUGCAAGAUUUAUUUCUUGCCUCUCCUCUUCUGAGAGUAAUUGUUCUAGGGUAGAUCGCUGGAACUUGCUGGAGACGGCAAGGCUAGAGAAAUGACUCUCGGUGCUAUUAGCACUACAGAACUCGGCUUAUAUACUACGUGCGCAC